CCGUUUUAUUAUUAGCCUACUGAAACUUUCUGUUCACACACAAUACCUUUCCUUCCUUUAUUCUCUUUAUUAUGAAAUUAAAAAAAUUAAAAGAAUAAAAUUCAAAAAAAUUGAAAGAAAAAUACAGUGCACCAAGCGACAGAUUGAAUGAAUCAAUAAUUAGUUCCUUCCACAGCUUCCUUCCUUGAUGACUCUUUCUCUCUUUCUCUCUUUUUUAAAGUCAAGAAGAUUCGACAACC
rnacentral:ribozyme from 1 species